rnacentral:rRNA from 1 species
CUUGAACGCUGGCGGCAGGCCUAACACAUGCAAGUCGAACGAGUGGCGGACGGGUGAGUAAUGUCUGGGGAACUGCCCGAUAGAGGGGGAUAACUACUGGAAACGGUAGCUAAUACCGCAUACCAUCGGAUGUGCCCAUAUGGGAUUAGCUAGUAGGUGGGGUAAAGGCUCACCUAGGCGACGAUCCCUAGCUGGUCUGAGAGGAUGACCAGCCACACUGGGACUGAGACACGGUCCAGACUCCUACGGGAGGCAGCAGUGGGGAAUAUUGAACAAUGGGCGAAAGCCUGAUGCAGCCAUGCCGCGUGUAUGAAGAAGGCCUUAGGGUUGUAAAGUACUUUCAGCGAGGAGGCGUUACCCGCAGAAGAAGCACCGGCUAACUCCGUGCCAGCAGCCGCGGUAAUUC